UACGUAGGGGGCAAGCGUUAUCCGGAGUUACUGGGUGUAAAGGGAGCGUAGACGGUAAUGUAUGUCUGGAGUGAAAGGCGGGGGCCCAACCCCCGGACUGCUCUGGAAACUAUGUUACUAGAGUGCAGGAGAGGUAAGCGGAAUUCCUAGUGUAGCGGUGAAAUGCGUAGAUAUUAGGAGGAACACCAGUGGCGAAGGCGGCUUACUGGACUGUAACUGACGUUGAGGCUCGAAAGCGUGGGGAGCAAACAGG
rnacentral:rRNA from 1 species